rnacentral:rRNA from 1 species
GAUGAACGCUGGCGGCGUGCCUAAUACAUGCAAGUCGAGAGAACGGACGAGAAGCUUGCUUUUCUGAUGUUAGCGGCGGACGGGUGAGUAACACGUGGAUAACCUACCUAUAAGACUGGGAUAACUUCGGGAAACCGGAGCUAAUACCGGAUAAUAUUUUGAACCGCAUGGUUCAAAAGUGAAAGACGGUCUUGCUGUCACUUAUAGAUGGAUCCGCGCUGCAUUAGCUAGUUGGUAAGGUAACGGCUUACCAAGGCAACGAUGCAUAGCCGACCUGAGAGGGUGAUCGGCCACACUGGAACUGAGACACGGUCCAGACUCCUACGGGAGGCAGCAGUAGGGAAUCUUCCGCAAUGGGCGAAAGCCUGACGGAGCAACGCCGCGUGAGUGAUGAAGGUCCUCGGAUCGUAAAACUCUGUUAUUAGGGAAGAACAUAUGUGUAAGUAACUGUGCACAUCUUGACGGUACCUAAUCAGAAAGCCACGGCUAACUACGUG